GCCGGGGUGGUGAAAUUGGUAGACACGCUAGGUUCAGGAUCUAGUGGAGCGAUCCAUGCGGGUUCGAGUCCCGCCCCCGGCA
rnacentral:tRNA from 1 species